UCAGUUCGGAUUGCAGGCUGCAACCCGCCCUGCAUGAAGCCGGAAUCGCUAGUAAUCGCAGAUCAGAAUGCUGCGGUGAAUACGUUCCCGGGUCUUGUACACACCGCCCGUCACACCAUGGGAGUUGGCAACGCCCGAAGUCAGUGACCCAACCUUAACAGGAGGGAGCUGCCGAAGGCGGGGCUGAUAACUGGGGUGAAGUCGUAACAAGGUAGC
rnacentral:rRNA from 1 species